AAUACUUAUAUGCUAGAUGAUCAACCUUUUCUGAUCGAUUCCACACCGUUUCUUUCACAAUGCAAUCGCAUGACCAUAACUGGUCUUUAUCUUUAAGCUUUUAAUAGUAAGGUAGCAUUUAUACAUUCUAUUGCCAUUGGAGCCGUUACAUGAAUGGACCAUAUUAGAUGUUCACAAGGCUUGGUAAGAUUUGAUGAAUAUGAGCUCAAUAAUUUACCGCUAGUAGUAUCCUGACCACCGAUCACUUGUUACCUCUUUGAUACUUUGUACAACAUGCUCCCACAACCAUUGCUUUGCAGUUAUUUGUCAAAUCUAGUUACACUCCUAUUUACAAACCUGGAUUUAACAAUAUACCAAUCCCAAACCUAAUCCCAAACCUAAUCCCAAACCUAAUCCUAUACAUACAUGUAGACACGCAACCACACCCCUAUACUCUCUUUUGUUCUUAUUAUCACUCACUGAUUUUGCUACUUUCAUCACUUUAUUUUGCUUUACCUGAUAAAUGCUUUCAAUAGUUAUCUAAUAGAUGGUGCUACUUCUUUAUCACUUUUGUACAAUGCAUACCUUAUUUAUAUACAUGUAAGUUCUUGGGCUGCAUUAAUCCCCACCCUUCUUAAUGAAAGUGUUUGUUUUUUUUACUUUUGUACUAAUACGGUAUUCAUUUUAUUCACUAGUUGAAGUAAUCUUUUACAGAUAUUUAGGGGAAGGGGUAUACAGAUCUUACCAUGAAUUUGAACCAAUCUGGCCAUUGGAGAAGCAUUUCAUUUUAAUGUCAAUCAUCCGCAAAAUCUCUUUGACAUAACGUAUGAAGGCUAUUUUUGCAAGUUUUGGCACAUUUGUGAACACUGUGAGAUUUAAAUCAGGGCAAAAUAUGCUGGGUAUACACAAGCUUGAUAACGGGAUGUGUCUUCUUUUGUUAGACUUUGAACAGUACGUCUAUUGCAAACAGUUUAAUUUGUUUUAAUUACUUCAUUUAUUGAUUCCUUGUCUAGCUUUGCAUCAUUUGAGCUGUCUAGUUGAAUAGUGCCUUUAAUGACAUUACUUUUAUCUCACUUGUUAAUAGAUGUAUACAUAACAACAAGAAUCAAUAAUGGUGGCUUCUUGUAUAGCACUCAUGUUUGUAUUAUGCAUUAAUUGUAUAUUAUAAUUAUAGUUGUAAACAAAGGUUGGAUUAGUACAUGUAGAUGUUUAUGAUACAUGCUAGUAUAUUUAUAUGUACAAAAUGUAUCAGGAAAGAUUAGGUAACAGUCUAGUCUAGUAAUACACUUUGGUGACAUCUAGUCCCAUCCUUGGUGUAAUCCUAUCUUAUUGUCCAGUCCAGUUCCUGCUCUAGCCUUCUCUUUUGAAUCCAGACUUCCUUUCUACCAGUUAAAAGGUUGGAAGUGAAUCUGAUUGCAUGCUUAUAUUCUAAAAGGCUUUUGUUUGUACUGUGUUUCCUGCCUCUCAUAAGUAAUUUAUCCUCUCUCCAUUCUUCUUAAACAGGAAAGAAAAAAUUAUAAGUGUUACGUCACUGGAUAUAGCUAUGCUGCAACUGCUGACAUGUAUAUUAGACAACCAAGAUACUUAUUAUCUCUUUUUGCCAAGAAUUAAAGAAAAACUCAUUUUGUUACUUGUUGAAUUUAAAACCUUGUCUUAAAGCCAACAGUAUUUGUAAUGACAUUACUAGGACAUGUUUGUUUAUGUUAUACACUGGCAGAUAAGGUACUUAAUGUUGUUAUAUAUUAUCUCUGGAAUACAAACUCUAGUCUCCUUGAUGGGUUGGUUACCAUGGUGAUGAUAGGAUGUUGGCUCAGCUAUCAUGCUACUGCAGAGGUAAGGACAGUAAGGCUAUUAACAUACAAAGCCAUUUUAAUAAAGAUAUAAGAAGAUCCUUUUUUUCCUUUUUUUGUUUGUUUUAAUGUGAUCAGAAUAUUUUUUGUGGAUCACUAAAAAUCACUCAUAUGUGUAAUUCUUAUUCUGAACAUAUUUGUUCAUUUCUGAAGAAAAAAAGCCAAUGCUCUCUGUAUUACAAUGAAGAUCAAUAGACAUGUAUGCCUUCCACUUAAGACAAGGUGCACACAAUGUAAAUGGUAUUUAAAGAGAAAGUUUUAUAUUUUAUUGAUGAACAACUUAAACUGUCUCUCUUCAAUGAUAUUCUUUGAUUUUAUAGUACCAAUCGAUCAAUUUAAAGAGGUAAGAUUUUAAUCUGAUUUUUAUCUUGAGAAUGAAUAGGAUUAGAGUGUUGACCCGGUAAUAUGAAAAUUGACUUGGAUUCAAUUUUAAAUUCAGCUCAAUCUUACUUAAUGCUACAAUUGAUCAAAAGAGAUACAAAUUUUGAGAAGAUACAAUCAAUUGUAACUCUUUGAUACAAACCCAGAAUAAUAUAUAAUAUACACAAUAACACAUAAACAGGUAGACAGGUUUGUGGAUGUUUUCAGCAACAUACCUCCUUAAAUAUACCAUCACCCACUUUGAGCAAGCCCAUUCAAUCCUAAAUUUUAUCUUUCACAUUUGAGUAUUUUGUGGUUUUUCUAAUCAACAAAUGUCUUUUGAUUUCUUUUUUAACCGUGCUUCAAAAUCUGCAGUGUUGCAUCAUUUUUCCAUCAUCAUGUUUGAUAACAAAUUGCCUCAGAUUGGUUUUGUGAUUUAUUCAACUGUAAAAGCAGUUUAGCCUAUUAUUUGCAUGGUUGAAUUAUUUUGCUUACUACCUCUUAUCAAAAUGAUUAUCAUUAUGUAAGAAGGGAUUAAUUUUGUAUUGUAAAGUUGAAGAAGCAAUCAUGCGACUCCAUGCCCCAUUGUGAAUUUAUGAUCUAAAGACUAAAGUAUUAGCUUUUCCAAACAAAAAACGACCUACACUUUGGGAUGCUUGAUUUCUGUGUGUAGAUGCAUUCAUCCAUAAUUUGUUUGUUUUUUCAUAUAUAUAUAUAGCAGUACAUACAGAAGUGGCCCAAAAGACCAUUGAUAUUAGGUUCAUUGCUAUACUUAUUGUUUGCAUUCCUCUGUACAUCUUCCGCAUUAUGAAAAUAAUUUAUUUAUGUGUAUUUUUGAUUCACAAUUUGUGGGAUUACAACCAUCAAAUGCAUUAAUGAUAUGUAGGUGUUUGUUUUUAAGAAUGUAUUAACACACAAAUGUGAUAUUUUUCUUUGUAUGUGAGAGAGAGAGAGAGAGAGAGAAGAAGAAGAGAGUGUAUUCUUACAAAGGUACUACAAGGGCAUGAUGGUGAUUUAUAAAUAAAAUAAUGCUGAAAGGCAUACGAAAGAUGAUAA